UCGUACUUUUUUCAUGUUAACAACAUUCUUGCCAUAGUUAACUUUAGCACCUGGCAGCCAUGGUUUAUUUUUCUCGAUUGACUAAUCAUGGUUUUCUGAAACCUCGUUCUCCAUAUUUUAGCGAGUGGAUUUUCCCGUUUCACGGACAUUUUCAUUAGCGAUUUUUCUCAACUCGCUCAGUUCUCAUUCGCAUGCUGGUUGCUACACUCCGCUACAACCCCGUCUACAACGCUUGUUGCUCGUCAGAUGCGGCCAUCUUGUUUUCGCUUAUUCGAGGCCUCCGGUAUUUAGUAACAUUAAUUUAUAGCGUGAAUAUAAUAAUUCGGAAUUCUGUUCGUCUAGUGUAUAUUCUACUUCGGAUAAAAGGAAGCUGGACUUGUUUACAUUUUCGACUCUAUAAUCACUUUUACUGACAUCAGGAUUUCCGAUAGAAUUUGUGUAUAUAAUUUUGCACGGGGACUUUACUUCAUAUCCGAACACUAUAGCGUGAAUAUAAUAAUUCAGAAUUCUGUUCGUCUAGUGUAUUUUCUACUUUGGAUAAAAGGAAGCUGGGCAUGUUUCGACUCUAUAAUCACUUUUCCUGACAUCAGGAUUUCCAAUAGAAUUUGUGUAUAUAAUUUUGCACGGGGACUUCAUAUCCGAACACUUUAGCUGAGGAACCCAACUACAGUAGAAGUGUCGAGUUUCAUUUGCCCAUCAUCAACCUACACCUUUUCCACUAGUAGUCUACUUCUGUUUUUCGUCAUCUACACGCAACUUCAAGUUCUACUAGUUACAUUUGUUCAAUCUGAAGUGGAGGGGCUGAUGCGAUGAAUUUCCAAAACCCUGAAUCGUUUUUUAAACUGGUCCUAAUUGGGGCUAUAAUGGGUACUCUGGUAUACAUCGCUAAUAUGGAUAACGUAUCAUACACAAAAUACAGAUUUGCUGAAUCACACAUAGUCUACGUAGAAAAUGAACUUUCAUUUCUCAGAAAAGAACAUCAAUAUAAUCAUACAACAAGACCGAGGCAUCCUCGUCCAUUUAUCACAAUUGCUCCAAAUAAUUCAGAACUGUCCUUCAGGAUAGAUCAAAAGUUUACUUUGUCUUCGUGUCCGUAUUCAUUGCAUGCCAAACUACAAGAGUCGCACUGGGCUUCCCAGUACUAUCGACCUGGAGUAAAGAUGAUCAUGACAAAUGGCAAUAUUAACCAGGAAGAAUAUCGACGCUUGAAUAAAUACGAUAUGCCGUUCGGA